rnacentral:rRNA from 1 species
UACGUAGGGUGCGAGCGUUGUCCGGAAUUAUUGGGCGUAAAGAGCUCGUAGGCGGUCUGUCGCGUCGGUCGUGAAAAACUUGGGGCUUAACCCUGAGCUUGCGGUCGAUACGGGCAUGACUGGAGUUCGGCAGGGGAGACUGGAAUUCCUGGUGUAGCGGUGAAAAUGCGCAGAUAUCAGGAGGAACACCGAUGGCGAAGGCAGGUCUCUGGGCCAUAACUGACGUGAGAAGCGAAAGCAUGGGGAGCGAACAGG